rnacentral:hammerhead_ribozyme from 1 species
AUUCAGCCGAUGAGUCCCAAAUAGGGUGAAACAUAUGUCCUGGAU